GACGAACGCUGGAGGCGUGCUUAACACAUGCAAGUCGAACGAUGAAAUGGAGCUUGCUCCAUGGAUUAGUGGCGAACGGGUGAGUAACACGUGAAUAACCUGCCCUUAAUUUUGGAAUAACCCAGGGAAACCUGGGCUAAUACCGGAUAAGUAAACCUGUGGCAUCACAUGGUUUUGGAAAGUUUUUCGAUUAAGGAUGGAUUCGCGGCCUAUCAGCUUGUUGGUGAGGUAAUGGCUGACCAAGGCGACGACGGGUAGCCGGCCUGAGAGGGUGAACGGCCACACUGGGACUGAGACACGGCCCAGACUCCUACGGGAGGCAGCAGUGGGAAUAUUGCGCAAUGGACGAAAGUCUGACGCAGCGACGCCUCGUGAGGGACGAAGGUCUUCGGAUUGUAAACCUCUUUCAGCAGGGACGAAGCGAAAGUGACGGUACCUGCAGAAGAAGCACCGACUAACUAUGUGCCAGCCGCCGCAGUAA
rnacentral:rRNA from 1 species